rnacentral:tRNA from 1 species
GUGGGUAUUGCUCAGUGGUAGAGUGCGUGCUUAGCAUGCGCGAGGUCCUGGGUUCAAUCCCCAGUGUCUCCA